UCCCCCUGCUAAUGAAUAAAGACAGACCUUCUUAGUGGUGGCGUUCUUACAUCAGUUAGGGACAUAGAAGAUGGCAGUCCUUUGUUUAUCCUAUCUUGAUGCCUAGCUUGGUGGCCAAAGCUGUCUUAUGCCUGGGACUCAAAA
ensembl:snoRNA LOC120099077 small nucleolar RNA SNORA48